GUUAAGUUUUACUAAUUAGCUCACCUGCCGCAGCUCGCCUGCCAGGUGGUUUUCUUAAUUAGUUAAUUGGUUGCAUCUGGUGCAUUUCACUUAAAAGGGAACCGGACAGGUCUGUUGUGACUUAUUUAACAUCUCUUCCAGUUUCACAGGUUAAAGACUUUUUGAAGUUAAGAGGAGCAUCUCAUCUGAACCUGAUGUCUAUCAUGGAUAUUUAACUGCAGUUCUGUGAGUAUCCCAACUUAACCAUGAAGAUGAGCUGCAAACUGUAAGUCAUUAAUUUCUCAUUACUCUUGGGCACAUUGAUGUAUUUUGGCUUCCUUGUGAGUUAACCUGUUACCUGAGGGUUGAUCUGAAUAGUAAGGAUGUUUUAUUGGUUCAUGGGUUACUUAGGUGUUUGGUUUGUGUUGGUUAUUGUUUGAAGUUAUUGUUGUAAGCUGGAGUAAUGGGUUGGGAUCUGAUAUCUUCAGUCUUCUUUCAUUCUACUCUCCUGAGCUCUGCAUCUUCGUCUGAGUGAGCAGAGGUGCCUACUGGGAUACAGAGCUGUCUGAAGUCUACAGGUCUGUAGACGCGCCCCCUCAGGGGAGACCGAGUGUUUGAGAAACUGUCGUGACGUCAGUUACAUGGACUGGAAUGUUCUUAAAGAUGGAGACAGGGAUUCAGAAGGAGAAACACCAGGGGGAGAUGAGGGGGCUCCUCAUCUCAACGACUAAAACACAACGUCAGUCUGACACAGAGAACCAUGGAACACAUUCAACAGUCCCCUCCAGGCAUCGUGACUCCUCAGGAACGGUUUCAUUUCCAAGAAGGUCUUAUUUGGGGACAUCCCCAUAUGGAUCCUGCUCCUCAAGAGCCACCCCCCUCCACUGGGUGGUCUUCUGAACAGAUGACCUCCUUCCUGUCCUCAGGCUGACAAAAGCUGCACCGUUUGCAUCUGUAAAGGCCCCUCAUUCAGGAAACCACUGUACUACAGAGACAUGACUUCAGAGACGUUGAAUCAACCUGGGACACAAUUUGGAGACGGCAAGCAUAAUCCAUCACCAAUGUGGGACGCCACUGAAGAAUGUUGUACAUAAUUUACGUCACUGGAGACAUUGGUUGUUCUGUUAUGGGUGCCCUGGCGGAGAGUUGGGGGGGGGGGUGUUAUUUGGCAUUAGGUUUUUCCCUGCAUGUUUGUUUGGCCUUUUAUGGCUCAGUGGUGUGUGUGUGUGUGUGUGUGUUUGGGUUUGACAUUAGAUGGAAGAUUUUUGAGCAUCACUAGGGUUCUACUGUGUGUGUGUGUGUGUGUGUGUGUCUCCCACUCACACCUGGCAUGGGGUUCUACGUGCCUGUCCUGGGUUCUAUGUUAGUGUGUCCGGCUUGCAUUGACAGUGAUGAUGUUAAUACGGGGGUCUGUGUGAUUGGCUUGGGAUAUUGGAAUGGUCAACUAAAUCAUACCUGAUGGACGGCCACACGUUUACUUAAGGGCCUUCAGUAGACAUGAAGAGCCCUGAGCGACGCUCCGGAGCGAUAUCCAACACACUGGGCAGGAAGGACAGUACCCAACUCAAGUGUAAAAGGAUGCAAGCGGCGUGUUCAGAUCAGUGACUUCAAACUAGGACUACACCAAUCAGGAUCAAUGGAGGAUGGACACCUAAAGGCAUUCCACAAGGGGAGUCUGAAUUUGGAAAGGGACCUAAAUGGAUAUUCAAGAUGACCUUCAGACCUGUAAUGAGACGGCUCUUCCUACCUGGCUGGAUUGAUGGAGAGCCCUGUGGAUCUUGUAUUGCUUCCAGUUGCACGUCUUCUCAGGCUGAACUGUAAUCGGGGAACUCCAGCUAGUGCCAAUCCGGGAACUCCAGCUAGUGCGCUCUUCGAGCUGAAGUUGUGCUCUUCAGCUGAUGAUGUAAGGAUACCUUCACUGGGGCUUCAAGGUGUAAAGAGGAGAAUUUUUAAAAGUGUUCCAUGGUACUCUGAUGAAGACCGUUGUUGUGUUCCACUGGCUGAGAGGAAGGACCCUUACAUCUUCCUCUUGGCCUUUCUCCUCUGAGAAUCCUGGCGCCAUCUUGAAGGAUAUUCCAGCUCAUGUAACUGAUGUCACGACAGAUUCUCAAACACCUGGUUUCUCCUGAAGGGCGUGUCUAUAGAACUGAAGACUUCAGACAGCACUGUAUCCCAGCAUGCAUCUCUGCUCACUCAGACCACACCCCCAUGAGUAGGAUGCAACAUUCUAGUGAUGGAGAUGUAGAGUUUUAUAAGUAACGAGGGAGCAGACAAAGGUGAUUAGUACACAAUGGCAUGUCAAGUCUGUAAAUCUUUAAACCAUGAAGAUGGUUGGAUAGUUCAGGAAUUGGGCUUCUAUUUAUUAUGAGCAGUCCUUUCACUCAGACGCCCACUUCUCAUUGGAGCUGUACAUGUGUUGGCUGGCUGGCAUGAUUUGCUGUUGGUGAUGAGGCGGUCAGGGUGACGUUGCAGGGCUAUGGUCGGCUCUCUGUGAGAUCAACGUUUAGAUUUGCUCUGUAUGGUUUGUGCCCUGAAUAAUCUAGAUAAUUGUAAAAUGUAGACACCGUUUUGUAUUGACUGAUUCCAGGAUUUUAGGUUUAAAGUUGUUGUGGGACGUACAUGGUAGUUUGGAUCUUCGUAUGGGUUUGAGUGACAUAACUUGUACACACUGGGUGCAUAAUAAUGUAAAGGUACACUGAAUAGUAUUAAUGACCAACAGCAACAAACAGAUCUCCUCAAGGUAAGUCUGUUGGCUGUGUUUUAAUGAAGACCAUCGCUGGACUUUAGGAUCUUCCUCCGUUCAGCUCAAGGUGAGGCGCUGGUUCUGUUUUUUCUUUGGUUGGUUCCGGCCGGAAUGUUCGGAUUCCAGUCGGACGGUUUGUGCUUCCCGCCGUGGAAGGUUCUGAGUGCGGUCACUUGUUUUAGUCCAAUGGUUAGCAUAGAACGUUGUAGUCUUGACAACCAUAAGAAACCACCUGGCAGUUAGUUGGACGGGAGUCCCCUGAGGGAAUCUGGCGGAACGUUCUGGAUUGUAUUUGCGUAACCUCGAGCCGUUGCCAACGGAAACUAUUUUUUCCAUUGGGAAUUGUGGCCCCCUAUCUUAAACAACUUAAGUUGGAUAUUAAAUACAUACUGACACGUACGUCGUACAUUAUGUUGAUAAUUUCCGAUGGUUGCGCCGUACUUUUAACCACGAUGACGUGACGGGACUCUCACUGCUUACAAAACAGUGUUCUACUUGCGCGCCUAUUUUUGACAUCAGGGAAGGCUGAAAAUCAUCUCAAGGUGGAAAAUAAUUGGACAUUUCUUCAACGGAACCCAGCACCUGAAUAUGUUCAAAUAUAUUUGAUUUAAUAUCGAUACUGCUUAGUGUUCUUUGUUACUUCAGCUUUUGUACGUUCUAAAUAUCAGCUGUCAUUAAUUGCCACAGAAGUUAAACCCUACCCAAUGGAAUGAGGUUAAACAACGACUUUGGUGCAUUUACCAACUGGAUAAUAUCAAAGCUAAAAUAACGGCCGUCAUUCCCACAUGUUAUAGUAGAAGAUACGCUAGAACUAUACAAGGUUAAAAAGGUAACAUUUAGUUUGUCCCAAGGUGUCUGCCUCCUCCCCCCAGACCAAGAGUCUCCACCUCCUCACCCAGAGCCAGACCUCCACCUCCUGUCAGAAGUCCUCCAGAACAGCUGAAAGGCGAGGCUGAGAGGCUGGGGACCGGAGGCUUGUGGUGCCAGGGUGGACCGGAGACUGAGGCUGGUGACCAGGGGCCUGCAGCACCGGACCAGAGGACCAGUAAUCCAUGGCUGAAGGAGCUGAUGGAGGAGCCGUGCUGAUGGAGGAGCUGAUGGAGGAGUCGGGCUGAAGGCCCUGCCUUGUGGAGGAGCUGGUGGAGGCCCUGCCUGGUGAAGGACGUCUGUCGUGGGGUAGCUGGAGCUUGACUCUGAAACCAGGACUCUGUCUGAGGAGAGCUGCUCGAGAAGCUGAGACGCUGGAGGAAGACUAGGAAUCGACCAACAAGGAUUCCUCAACGUGUUUCUGGAGUGGAGGCGAGCUGAUAGGGGAGCCGUGAAUCUGGAGGAUGACCAUCACUCUACCAACAAGGAUUACGUUAGGGCCAGACUCGCGCUGUUUGUUCCAGACCAGGACUCUGGCUGAGGAGAGCUGAUGGAGGAGCCAAGACUCUGGAGGACGACAUCAUACCAUUAACCAGGAUCCUCACCAGGAAUCUGGAGGACUGAUGGAGAAGCCGUACAUCUGGAAGGCAAAUCCUGAGGACCACCAGGACUCUACCAUCAAGGAUUCCUCAUAAGUUUGAAUUAUCUGGACAUAGUGGAAAAGACACACCUGAGCUGAACCUCACCUGAUCCUGUUUGGUCGGGGGUAGACACACCUGAGCUAAACCCGCCCUGAUCCUGACAUCCUGCUGGUCCCGUCUCCUCAGUUCAUCUGAGCCUCGUCCUCUAGAAGACCUGCUGAGCUCAGCAGUCUGAGGCUGAUGGAUCAAUGACCUCCAGUGGGAGUGAUCUUCUUGAUCCCACAUGUAACCGUGUGCUUCCACACGCCUUUCCCUCACGUGUGUCACUAACCUCACUACUUCACUACUCUCUACUGCUUCCUCUUUUCUUCCUUCUCUGUGGUUCAAACCUUUACACUGAAGGCGCGUCUUCCUGCCCUCAGAGGUUUUAGGGUUGAGAGUCAGGGUUUAGAGUCAGGGACAGAGCUGGUCAGGGAGGACUGCUUUUACGCAAACCCUUUUCACUUGCUUUCGGAAUGGUGGUGACAUUUUGAAAAGAUUAAUUUGGGAAAAUGUUUUCCUCUGCUUUCCUUUACAAAAUUGUAUUGAACUUCUGUCAAGUGUUUUUGUUUAUAUAUUAAAAUCCCACAUUGACUUCUACAUGUUUUGUGCUGUUCAUUUAAUUGUCCUUUAACUUGGUUAAUGUCAAGCUAAACUCCUGCAAUACAUUUAAU
ensembl:lncRNA